GCUGGGCAUGGUGGCGGGUGCCUAUAAUCCCAGCUACUCAGGAGGCUGAGGCAGGAGAAUCGCUUGAACCCGGGAGGCAGAGGUUGCAAUGAGCAAAGACCACGUCAUUGCACUCCAGCCUGGGCAACAGAGCGAGACCCUGUCUCAU
ensembl:misc_RNA Metazoa_SRP Metazoan signal recognition particle RNA